UCCUUAUCAAGAGAGGUGGAGGGACGGGCCCGAUGAAACCCGGCAACCUGCAUAAAGCAAGGUGCCAAUUCCUGCAGAAUGGAAACAUUCUGGGAGAUGAGGA
rfam:Caloramator australicus RC3, WGS project CAKP01000000 data, contig: 118